UACGUAGGGAGCAAGCGUUGUCCGGAAUCAUUGGGCGUAAAGCGCGCGUAGGCGCCAGGUAGGUCCGUUGUGAAAACUCGAGGCUCAACCUCGAGACGUCGACGGAAACCAUCUGGCUAGAGUCCGGAAGAGGAGAGUGGAAUUCCUGGUGUAGCGGUGAAAUGCGCAGAUAUCAGGAAGAACACCCGUGGCGAAGGCGGCUCUCUGGGACGGUACUGACGCUGAGACGCGAAAAGCGUGGGGGAGCGAACAGG
rnacentral:rRNA from 1 species